rnacentral:rRNA from 1 species
CGUAGCCGCCGCGGGAAUACGUAGGGUGCAAGCGUUAAUCGGAAUUACUGGGCGUAAAGCGUGCGCAGGCGGUUUGUUAAGACAGAUGUGAAAUCCCCGGGCUCAACCUGGGAACUGCAUUUGUGACUGGCAAGCUAGAGUCUGGCAGAGGGGGGUGGAAUUCCGCGUGUAGCAGUGAAAUGCGUAGAUAUGCGGAGGAACACCGAUGGCGAAGGCAGCCCCCUGGGCCAACACUGACGCUCAUGCACGAAAGCGUGGGGAGCAAACAGGAUUAGAUACCCCCGUAGUCCCUGUCUCUUAU